GACGUAGGGCGCGAGCGUUGUCCGGAUUUAUUGGGCGUAAAGAGCUCGUAGGCGGCUUGUCGCGUCGACUGUGAAAACCCGCGGCUCAACUGCGGGCCUGCAGCCGAUACGGGCAGGCUAGAGUUCGGUAGGGGAGACUGGAAUUCCUGGUGUAGCGGUGAAAUGCGCAGAUAUCAGGAGGAACACCGAUGGCGAAGGCAGGUCUCUGGGCAUUAACUGACGCUGAGGAGCGAAAGCUAGGGGAGCGAACGGG
rnacentral:rRNA from 1 species